rnacentral:tRNA from 1 species
AGAAGGGGUUAUCUAUGUUGGUAGUAGGUAUUGAGCUGUAAACUCAACGGAUAUUUUCCCUCGCAUGUUCGAUUCAUGCCCUCUUCA